AAACACAAAAAAUGUUACUCAUAGAAAUAAAUAUGUCCCAUUUUCCCUGAUGGCAAAUUCCAGACAGAAAUAAUACAUUUGGAUUUUUAAAAUCUCACCACUAUCAUCAGACCAAAAAGGAAAAAAGGGGACAACAAUGUUUUCAGACAGCUAAAUGUAUUUUUGUUUGUUUGUUUGUUUCAGUCUUUGAGCAGAAUAUGAAAAUUUCAUCCGUAUGUGCGCCAAGAGUUACCUGCUACCAACACUCGGAGUUACCGGCUACCAACACCCCCUUGUGUACUUAUUCUAUCCCAGAGGAACUUCUCCUCACAUUCCAUUCCACCUGUUCCCAUGACUUCCCUUUUCCAAAGUUACCUGCUACCAACACUUGGAGUUACCUGCUACCGACACCCCCUGUGUACUUAUUCUAUCUCAAAGUGCCUUAACUGGAGAUAUCAUGGAUCUCCUGACAAACCAGGUGCUUGAAAGAGUUCAGCCCAGAUCUGACCUGAAAUAUGGAAUCUCAGAGGUAGGGAGUCUGCUGAUAUUUUGGACUACAAUUCCCAUGAGCUCUAACUGCCCUGGCAAAGUUUGAUUGGCAAUAUUCAACAGAAGCAUUUGAAGUACGGUAAAUUACUCCUUCUUAGGAGGAUUAUAGCCCUGUACAUCUUCGUGAAGCAACAUUCUUCUCUUAAGAGUGCCAAGCUACAAUCCAAAACUUUCCUUAGAUAGGUAAAAAGGCCAGUGUCUCCCAAUGGAUUCUUUGCUAUAGCUGCCUUAUCCUGCCUCUAGAAAAACCUGCUUCUAUCAAGAACAAGAAGACUUGGGUGUAUCAUGUGAUAUUUGCAAUCCUUUCAAUACUCCCUCAGUUGUUCUAUAGAUUUAUUCCUUCCUAUAUUAUCUAUAGUAAAUAUACAGUAUCUUAGACUUAUAUAUCUAGAGUCCCUUUUCAUUUGGUAUCUCUUCCUAUCCCCAGAUAUAGAGUCAGCCCCUGUACAAUGUUGGCUGGAAUGUUCCUUUUUUUCCCUUUCUCAUUUGUCUACCUGUCGCUGUUGCUACGAACAGAGCAUUGCUUGUACAACCAACUGACCCGGGAAGUCAUUGGUGCUACAGACUGGAACAUAAGACCAGCUAAAAGCCUAAUGUCCUGGAGAAAAGGAAUUACUAGGCCUUGUAAAUCACGAGAUGUCAAAUGCAGCCACAGACAUUAAAACUUCACUACAGUGAGUAGUUUAAUUUCCUGGGUAUAACUGCUGCUUUGACGCUAAUGGCAGAUGAAAGCGAAGGUUUCCUGGUCAUUUUAACCUCAGCCUGGAUGGCAGAAAUUCCAGGAGUUGUCGUUAUUAAUAACAAUGGACCUUUUAUCCAAUGGACCCAAGUCCCAUUAGCCCUAAAGAUGUUAAUUAUCACAGAUAUUACCUAUGCAGGCUUGUUCAGGAGCUUAAA
rnacentral:lncRNA from 1 species